UCCCCAUUUAAAUGGAAUGAAAGCUUAUCUCUUUAUUGUGCCUUGAUGUCAAGUUGGCAAUAAAUAUGGAUAUCAGACUAUGCAAAAUUAUUCCUGAAUUCCUGUCACUAUCCCCAGUCGAAAUUCUAAACACUUUAACUCGAUGUUCAACGAUCAGUUAGGAUCGUCCACAUACGUGGCUAGCUGCUUAUAAUUCUUCAUGUUUUUCCUCAAAGAAAAUAUUUGGCUUAAUCUCAAAGUCAUCAAAAAGACUAGGCGUAGGUUAGUCCAAACCACUCAUUCUUUUUGUAGCAAGUACUUUCCACCAAGAGGAUGCCCACCCAGCUGGAAGAAAGCUGAAAGAGUGAAAGAAUUUUUGCCUUGAUUGAUGCCAGGAAUGACUUUGAGUUAUUUUUUCCCCACUGGAUUGAUCAAAUCAAGCUUUUCUGCCCUUAAAAAUAUAAACAGUACUAUGUCCCUCAGCGUGAUGAGGGCAACGAUAGAUCUAUAUGGAUGAGGAACAUCAGACACUCUCAAAUAUCAUCAAAUUUAAGAACCAAGAAAAAAAUAUACUCUGUGAUCAUGAGUGAUAGCGUCGAUUCUGGAGAAGAAAGCCUGGAUAAGGAAGGUCUCUGAUGAACCACGGGACGCAGAAGAGACUGCCAUGCCCCAGAAAGCCUAAAUCGAACAGAACAAGAUGAGAAAACUCCCCUUCCACUUUCAUCCAACCAUAAAACUUAAACUGUUUUACUUUUAAAUUCUCAGUUUCCUGGUUUUAUCUUUUUUUCUUCCUCCCUUUGUAUUAUUUUAAAAGUCUGAUAAAUGUGUUGCUAAUUC